rnacentral:lncRNA from 1 species
UGGCCUUCACUUAAUUUUUGAGUAUGUGAAGUGUCAUCUCUUGCUGUCUCCCUCUAGGUAUCUUUCUCAGACAUUUUCACCUAAAACCCAAGGAACUGAAAGGAAGACUGUAUAUCCUUCAGGAAGAGGCUGGUGGGCUUGCCUGUGAGCAUAUUACAACACUCAGAAGAUAUGUGCCAACAAUUAAAGACAUUGAAAUGUACCAUUCAUAUCAGGGAUCCCCUUCAGAGCUACACCUUGUUGACCAGUUUAUGUUAGAGAUGUGUAAAAUUCCUCAUUUAGGCCAAAGGUUGGAGCUCUUGCUUAUGAUAAGAGAACUUCCAGGGUACGUGAAAGAUCUUCAGCCUGUAAGUAGAAGGGCUUUCUUUGGUUCCUUUGUAAUUGAAAUACAUCAAUUAGGUCCUAUUAAAGCAC